AUUGAACGCUGGCGGCAGGCCUAACACAUGCAAGUCGAACGAGUGGCGGACGGGUGAGUAAUGUCUGGGGAACUGCCUGAUGGAGGGGGAUAACUACUGGAAACGGUGGCUAAUACCGCAUACUAUCGGAUGUACCCAUAUGGGAUUAGCUAGUAGGUGGGGUAACGGCUCACCUAGGCGACGAUCCCUAGCUGGUCUGAGAGGAUGACCAGCCACACUGGGAAUGAGACACGGUCCAGACUCCUACGGGAGGCAGCAGUGGGGAAUAUUGCACAAUGGGCGCAAGCCUGAUGCAGCCAUGCCGCGUGUGUGAAGAAGGCCUUAGGGUUGUAAAGCACUUUCAGCGGGGAGGCGUUACCCGCAGAAGAAGCACCGGCUAACUCCGUGCCAGCAGCCGCGGUAAUUC
rnacentral:rRNA from 1 species